UCUUCCGUAGUAUAGUGGUCAGUAUGUGAGCUUGUCAUUCAUUCCCUUUGAACUGUCAACGCUCGAGACCCGGGUUCAAUUCCCGGCGGGAGAG